AGCCUCCAACUCCUGGGCUCAGGCAACUCUCCCACCUCAGCCUUCCAAGUCGGUAUUACAGAGCACAGCAGCAGAACUCCCAGGGGACCCCAAGGCUUCAGCCAUGGUGUCCAGGAGGAUAGUAAGACCCUGAAGCAGGGUGGAGAGAAGCAGAAGGAGAGAAGAUGCCCAGCAUGGGACCUGCUGAGCCCAGUGUCAUGGUGCAGUCUCCAAUUACAGCGCAAAACCAGAAGGCGUCCUGUUAGCCAACGGAUCUGAUGGCCGACGGUUCAUUUAUUGCUAUUUGGAGGCCUACAACACAGACCCACUGUGAAAGUGGUCACAGGACCAAAACCCCAAAGAUGGCAAUGAGGCUCUUCAUCGGGAUUAUUUCUUGUGCCUCUUGUUUCUGAAGCGACCCUAUCCGAGAGAGUGCGCUGAACAUGAUGGAUGGGGAUCCUGGAUCGCUGCUGUCAUCAUCUAGGAAAACAUCAUGGCAAGAAGGGGAAAGAACAAGACUUAAGAUCAGAGUGGACUCCAAGCUCUAGGAAGAGGCAUGGGUGUGUGACUUGCAAAGUUUCGCUCAGCUUAGAGCUGCCCAAAAUUGAAGGAAGAAGUUGGCUGGAAAGCAGAAGGCAGAAAAAGGAAGAGUGAGGACUGUGUUUCGUCCUUUUUGCGUAACUCUCCUCCACAUGGGCACCCAGGCAGUGCAGUUCCAGGCAGAGCAGUGGAUACUUUGUCAACAAAAUCUGAGUAUCUGUUCUUUUACGUCCCACCUGACCGACAGCCUGAACUUCUGGACAUGGGCACCCUGGCAUGAAAGGAGAAAUAAGGAAGGUACUUCUGCUCAGCGCAGGGCGAGCCCCAGCACACAGAGGAUGAACUACCUGAUGCAGGAUACACUGUUCAGACACCCAAACUUGGGGUGCAACCCUCCCCACCUCCAUAUUUUUUAAACUUGUGGUAAAAUCUGCCUCGAUUGCCGACAUGGAUUCUAAGCAGCCUCGUCAUUUAAGGGGUUUCCAGGCAAGACCUCUCUACUUAUAACACCAAGUGAGCCCUGAAGGCAAAAGAGCCCCGAAAGAGCAUGUGAAGUCCUCCAAACCAGCAUGGAGCUCCAAGACAUCCAGAACAAGAAAAGUCCUGACCCUGGGGGGCAAGGGGAGAGCUAGGAAGGGAAGCAUUCUCCAAGUUUCAGGCGGGUUAGCCAGGGACUGCUUGCCUGCAGAACAAGAGUCUCCACUGUCUCCCCUAGAUCCCCUCCAGCCAUUCUCCUGGUGCAGAGAGACUUCGGGUUUGGCGAGAAGGAUUCCAGUGAUCAACUGUGCUUGGCUACACAUUGAGGACUAUCUCAGCCUUAUCCUCAUCAUUAUUAUAAUCCUUUUUAAAUGUAUCAUGGUUUAUUAUUUUUCAUAAAUCACAACCAUAGAAAUUACAAAUUAUUCACAGUAGAGUUAAUUCCAAGCAAGCCAGAAAUGAGUCUGCAUAUACAGGCAUAAGUUUCCAUGACAAAUAGGCACAAGUAUAUAAAAUCCUACAGACAUAUGACCCAUAACGUAUUGCAGAGCACUGAUUUCCCAUCUUUAAAACUUAUUGAAGAAAACUGCUAACAUAAGUGCUAUUUCAUUACUUUUCUCUCAGAUUUUUAGUUUAACCACUCUCUUUAUUCACCUAGUUGAAACUUACAACCAGCCGAGUAUAUGUAAAAGAAAAGAAAUCAUUGGGACUAACAGUUCAUUCCAAGUCUGAAUUAAUUCAUGUAGAAGCGACAUUGUGAAGCGUUGUCUUUCUUUCCAAGAACAUCUGUAUUUAUCCAAGUCAAGGCUUCCUUAAGUCCCUAAGUAGUAAUAGUAAUAACGACUAAUAUUUCUUGCACAUCUACUUAGUUCCAGGCUCUGUUCUAGUGGCUUUAUGUACCUGUUGAUAUGUGUACCCUGCAUGUAUGAGACUGGCUUUGCAUCAGGACAAUACAAUUGCAUAUGGAGGGAACCAAUAUUAUCCUCUUCAUAGACCAGAAAUGACAGUGUGGAGAAGUAGAAUUUUAUUUUUCCUUCAUAUAGACUCUGUCUAUUUUUUUCCUGGCAUUUUAUGGCUUUGACUGAAAGUGUGACUGAGAUAUCCUUUAGUGAGGACAUCUAUUAAAAGGCUAGGAUCCUGUGACCUGUUUAUUAGUCUAGUGAAUCAUGUAUGUAUGUUUCCAAAUGUUAAACGACUCUCAAAUUCUGGAAUAAACCCACUUUGCAAGGUGUAUUGUACUUUUAA